GACGUAGGGCGCGAGCGUUGUCCGGAUUUAUUGGGCGUAAAGAGCUCGUAGGCGGCUCGUUGCGUCGGCUGUGAAAACCCGCAGCUCAACUGUGGGCUUGCAGCUGAUACGGGCGGGCUGGGAUUCGGUAGGGGAGACUGGAAUUCCCGGUGUAGCGGUGAAAUGCGCAGAUAUCAGGAGGAACACCGGUGGCGAAGGCGGGUCUCUGGGCCGAUAUCGACGCUGAGGAGCGAAAGCGUGGGGAGCGAACAGG
rnacentral:rRNA from 1 species